GGAUUUUUGAGGUGGGUUUUCUCUGUUUUGACGAUUUGGAUUGGAUUUUGAGGGAGAUGGGUAGGUUUCAAUUUUAGGGUUUUGAGAUUUUGGAGGUGGGUUUUGGGUCAUUUGGCCAUUUGGGUGGGAUUUUGAGGGAGAUGGGUAGGUUUCAAAUUUGGGGUUUGGGGAUUUUGGCGGUGGGUUUUCUUGGAACUCAAUUGGAAGGCAACCGAUGGCCAAGAAACGUCCAAUGGAGAUUGGUGGAUGUGAAGCCAAAGGGCCUUUGCCAAAAGCGAAGAGUAGGAGCUUGAAGCUGCCGAGCCAAGAAAUGAAAAAGGCAGUGCCACCUACAAGAUGCAUGGAGGAGAAGUUGAGAGGAAGAUAAAGGAAGAGGAAGACAACUGGGAGGACACAGAAAAGUCUGGUUGUUCCUUUUGGGACUAAUUUCCCAAUUGAAUGGCUGUAGAAGAAACAUGCAAACACUGACGUCCAUACCUUAAUGAAGUUGUAGAAUUCACCCUCCAUUAAUUGUUUUAUGAUCUUGCUUUCUGCUUUGUUGUUUAUAUCCUUGAUGUUCAACUGUUGAUAAUCGAUGAGGAACAAAUUAGAAUCUCAUAAAAACAAACACAACAUACCCACAAUACCUCCAAAGACGCUCAUCUUAACAGAACGAACAGAAAUUGCCCAACUCAGUUGGACAUUCCCUUAAACCACUCCAACAUAAACAAUCAUGCUUUUAGCACAACACAAACCGUACGGGGCAAUAAAAUCUGGGCACAAAAAUUGAAAUUUGAAGCAGAUCCAGAUAUCUGCCAGCCUCUAAAAGAAAGAGAACCGUAAAUGUCAAUCUCAACGUUUCAGACUCACUAAAUUCUAGUGUUUCUUCAGCUUUUCUAACAAUGUGGUAGUUUCUGUGUGCUGUAUGUGAGCUGAGAGAGAGAGAGAGAGAGAGAGAGAGAGCUGUGAGCUGCAAAAAACCUCAUUAUUUAUAUCAAAGGGCAUAUAAGAAAACAUGCAUUAGGAAGCAAAGUGCUAAACUUGUCUCUCAUAUACACAUCCUUAGAGAGAGAGAGAGAGAGAGAGAGAGCUGUGAGCUACAAAAAAAUCUCAUUAUUUAUAUCAAAGGGCAUGUAAGAAAGCAUGCAUUAGGAAGCAAAGUGCUAUACCCGUCUCUCAUAUACACAUCCUUAUUAUUCUAAUGAAUUACCCAGCUACUACUCAUCAUCCAAGUUUCAACUCAAACUCUGCUGAAUCAUAUAUGCCUUCACGCUGCAACCACAGGAACUGCAGUCUCCUCGACUUCUUCAGCCUUUCCCAGCAAAAUCACCAACUAUGAGACAGAAAGAGAGACAACUUUAGUAUUAGCUAGGAACACAUAAUUAUUACAAAAGUCCAGCAGUGAGUAACAUAACAACUUUGAUCAGUAAAAUCAAAAGGAAAUAACGAACCUGAGCCUUCAACACAAUCCGUCCAUCUUCGCCAUCCAGCUUCGAGACAACAGUAGAGGUGCUUAUGCCUGUUCCCGUAGUAUCCCCACAACAUUAACCAUUAUGUUUAUCAAAGUAGUACUGGAAAUCAAACACAACACUUGUCAAAUAUCGACUUACUAUUUUCAACCGUAACUUCAUUGCUCUUGAGACUCUCAACAAUUGCGAUCAGAGUAUGAAUAGCUGUACCAAAUAACUUGCAAAAAUUAGAACAAAAUGUUGAAACUUGAUGCAAACUAAAACCAUGGCUGCUCUAAUUAACACUAACAAAUCUGUUGCCAAUAUUGUCAGUGACGGAAAAAAAAUGCUAAAAUACAAUGUGAGUCACAAAAUAUAUGAAACCUCGAUCAAAUUUCUUGAUAAAACCUUAAGAAUAACUCCACAAAUUACUGAGUUGCAAAAAAAAUUCAGAAUCCCAGAUCAAAUUUCUUGAUAAACUUUAAAAACCCCAAUUCGGACAAUAUACCCAUAAUACCUCCAAAGACAAUUAAUUUUCAUAAUUCACAACAAAAAAAAAAAAGUAUACAUACAUCAAAUUUCACCAAAUUCAAGCCUACCAUCAGCAAUUCCAGUUCGUACACCCUCAAACCACCAUCACCCGGAGGCAGAUUCUCUGCCCUCAUGUUUGUGUGGUUACGGUUAAGUCACGUCAACAUUUUAUAUUAAUAUUCCUUUUUGUCUUAUUAUCUCUAUAAAAAAUAUAUAUAUAUAUAUACACACACAAUGUUGACGUGGCUUAACCGUGACCACACAAAACAGGAGGGCAUGGGAGGGUACGGGAAGUGGGAGGGCAGAGAAUUUGCCUCCCCAUCACCUAGAUGAAUGUUAAACAUGCAACAGGAAAACGAAUUAAUUCCCUAAAAUUUCAAAAUUGGGGAUGAUCUGAAUAUGGACUAAAACCUAGAAUACCUAACCUUGAGUAGAGAGGGUUUUAGAAAACGACGUCGUUGGAGGCCCAAUGUAACAAUCCAUCCCGGAAUUUACGGAACGGAAGGGCAUUUUGAUAAUUUCCCUUUGUUGGACUAGAUAUUUUGAAAUGGUUUGCUUUUGGGUCUUAAUGGAGUGCCUAGGGAUGGCAACGGGGCGGAUUGGGUUCGGAUGUGUCAUCCCCAUAACCGAACCCGUUUGUUUUCCCCGUACCCGAAACCGUAAAAACCCCGAACAGGUAUUCCCUGUAACCAAACUCGUUGGAUAACAGAUUCCCCAUCGGGUAACGAUUUUCCCAUUAUGAAUUUAUAAUAUUUCUUUCUUAUGAAAAAUUAAGCAAGUGUUACUACACACUUGCUAAAAUUUAACUGAUUAACCAAUAAUUCUUAUACAAACAAAAUGGACACUAUAAGGAUAUCCAAACAUCAACCACUUUCAAAUUGAAAUCUUAAAAGCAUAACAACAAUACUUAGAUGGUUCUUCGUUAGCAGUGGACAUCAGAGGAUGAGGGGGAGAAGAAGCUCGACUGUACUCUUCUAUGAUAUUCACCAAAUCCUCGUCGAACUUGACGGAAAUCAAGGUCUCCAAGUCUCCGUUCGGCAAUGGACACCGCAUUCAACAGAAUAGCCACACAACUCCGCAAGCUUCACCAUUAGCUCUGAACACACACAAAAAUUUGAAAUCAACAUCGAAAUUGAAACAAAGCAAUUGGAAUCGAGUCCAAAAUUUCAAGAAAUUAAGCAAGAAUCGAAAAAGGUUGAAGGCUGCGGCUAAUUUGUAAGAUUCCAUGAGUUCUUCCAUCUUUUUUGACCUUUGAGUUCUUCCAAAUUUCUUGACUGAAAACAUUAAAUUUUUUGGAAUAAAGAUAGAUUCUGCACUACAUGCUCAAGACCUUUGGAAUCUCCCAAAAAGUAUUAAAGUUGCUAAAGAAAAAAAAAAGGGAUUUCAUUCUUUUAUAAAAAAUAUAUAUAAAUAAUAAAUAUUUAUAUUUUUUAUUUAAAGAAUGAAAACCGGGCGAGUUCAGGUACGGUUCGGAGUGGAUACCCCUAUAACCAUAACCGAACCCGAAACUGAACAAUUUACUCAACGGUUACCCAUAACCAUAAAAAACCCGAAAUUUGAUCUCCGAAACCGUACUGUUCGGGUCGGUUACCUACAGGGAUCGGAUUUAACGGAUUAAAUUGCCAUCCCUGGAAGUACCCAAGGGGGACCCAUCCUUUGGUUUUGUCCCCCGGCCCAAAUCCCUCAUCUCUUUCUUCCCUCACAAUUCUCUCUCUCUCCCUUACUUCUCACUUUCUCUCCUUCUCUCUAACACUCAACCCCGGACCCUCUCUCCCUCUACAAGCUUUCCCUCUCUUCCUUGAGUAUCACUCGUACAACCACACUACCCCAAACCACCACCACCCGAACUUUUGUAACACUUGGAAAAUAUAUAUAUAUAUAUAUAUAUAUAUAUAUAUAAAUUAUAGGAGUAAGAUUAUUUUAGCUUUAAAAAAAAAAACAGACAAAGGAUAAUCUAUACGUAUAGACAUCCCAACUCUUCUUCUUCUUCCAAACCAUCACACGGUGGGGAACCAAGAUAAUCGGAUUCCGUCCAUAAAUGUUGGGGGUGAUGUGGGUAGUCUAAGGGGAGUGAGUAAGCAUCCUAAAACAGAGAUGCGAUGAUGGCAUUAAAGGGAGUAUUUCUAACUCUUACUGAAGAACUAGAGGAGAGUGAGAGGUUUUGGAGAGGGAAAAGUAGGAAAUUGGAAGAGGGGAGCUGAGAGGGUGCUGGUGUGAUCGUCGAUUGGUAAAAAGGUUAGCUUAAAUUUGUUAAUUUUUCUAUUUUCUUACCACUGCAACUUUGAUUUGUAGAAAACUGCAGUUUCGUGAGCCUCACUUUGGCUCUUGUUUUCUCUCAAUCCAUUACAUGUCUUUAAAAAGUCUUCUUAUAUAUUUGAAAUUAGACAUGACAAGCAACAAAGCCUAAUUUAUUUCAUUGGUUUUGGUUGAGAUCUUCUAUGGAAAAAUAUGAUUUGAAAAUGUGAAAAAAUCUAGAAAUCUGUAGAUUUUCUACAGAAAAACUGUUUCUGAACUCAACUUUGGAGCUUGAUUAUUUUCUUCUCUUAAAUCCGUUUUGGGAAACUCUUAUUAGAUUAGAAACUAGGUUUGUUAAGCUUUAAAACCCAAGUAAUUUCAUCCUUUUCCAUGGAGUUUUGAGGGAUGAAAAUGGGGUCACAAUAUGGGGACUUAAGCUUGGUUCGUCUAGAGGUUGUGACAGAGGUAUAUUUGGGUAAACUUUUGAUAGGCUGAAAUUGAAUCUUUAUUCCAGCUUUAAGUUAACUUUUAUUAUUAUUAUUUAUGUGAUUUUAGGUAUGGGAGUGACUUCGAACACUUCGGAGGCUUAGGGAGGUAUUCUAGUUAGUUGGACUUGAGGUAGGGACUCUAUUUCCAACGAUAGUUCUAUAUCAUGUUUAAUCUUUGUGAUAUUAGUAAUUAUACCUAUUACAGUAGUAAUGAAAUGGUCGGAUGGAAUAUAAACAUUUGAUUUUCAUGGUUGUGUUAUGGGCUGAUAGUUUCCUCUCUGGUGUAUUUUAUAUAUUGAUUUUGUUAAAUGUUAUUAUGUGUUGAUGAGUGGUUGAGAUAUGUAAAAUUUCUGGAUUGAAUAUGUUGAGGUUUACAAUUGUGUUUGUGAAAUUGAAAUGCUCAUGUUGCAUUACAUGUUUUAGAGUCAAGUGUUGGGUUGUAUAAAGAUGGUUAAACAAAGUACUGAAAACUUAUAUAUGUUCAAGCGUAGGGUGAAGGGCUUGAACAUGUAGUUGGGCGUCGGGGGAAGGGCCCCAUAUUAAUGAAACUGAAACUACUAAUAAAAUUCAGGAUUAAGGGAGGAAUGGGAGUUAACUUAUAUUUUAUGGUGUUCAGAACCAAGUGGUAUAAGCAUGGUAUGGGACGUGCGGGUUUGGAUGCCAUAAAUAUAAGUUAGCAGGAUUAGAAGGGAGUGAGUUCUUGUGUACUUCUUUGUCAUAUCAUUUGUAUUUUUCCGUAUUGUUUGAUGCAUGACACUUUGAUUAACUGUGAUACAUGAACUUGAAGGGCAAAUGGUUCCUACUGGGCAUGAAAUGCUCACACCCUAUUAGCUAUUACAGGUACUAGUAUGGAGGAACUUGAUGAUGGCCUGUCUCUAAAUGGAUAGCCAUAUCACGUGUGUGCUGGUUUCCUAGUUGUGCUUAGAAUAAAGUGUCUUCGUAUCUUAAAAGUAUGUUGUAAGAGUUGAACUCUUUAAACUAAUGAUGUAUUAAAUAAACAGGUUUAUGUGAACUUUUAGAUGGCUCUAGUUCCAUCAUACUUUUGUUGUAAUAUUUAACUUUUUUUUUCUAAGAUACUAUUCAUGCCCUAAUUCGAUGAUCAUCCUUAUUCUCGAGUUUUGGGUGUGACAAAUUUGGACUUCGAAAACCCUGUACCAAACGCCGAAGAACUCCACAAUGACGUUGCCACUAUUCAUCGUCUUCCCCGACGUGUUUCGUGGUUUCUCGACGUUGAAAUAGCACGGAGUAGCUUUUUCCCAUUUUUCCGGCACCGCCACUUUCGAGGCAUUUACUGGUCAAACCAUGAUGAUUUAACCGUCGUUCAAGUUUCCGACGAGUUCCCCAGUUUUCCCACGGAUCAGUCAUCUUUCAGGCCAUUUUCAGGCCAUCUUCAGCAACCAUUGGACUUUCAAAUAGGUGCAAUUGUUUAUGGUGUUUCUGUCUUCUCUAGUUUGCACGGCUUUUCGACAGCGAAGUAUCUGUGAGUGGAUCCUUUCCAAAAUGCAUAUUUUACCAUUAGAAAUGCAUACAUGCAUUUUUCAAACAAUGUCGUCGGUUCAUACUCGCAUUUUUCAAACAAUGGAUUGUUUUAUCAGCCAUGAAAAUGAAAAUGCAGUGCCAUGCCACCUUCAAGAUGUAUGGGGGGAAGUUCGGUUGUACCUCUUUUAUGCUUUGUUGUUUAUGUCUUUAAUGUUGAUCUGUUGGUGAUGGUGAACAAGCAGGAGAUGGUAGACUGACGUGAUCAUGAACCAAAAUCAAAUAUUACAUAACUGUGUUAAUGGUUGAUUAAGAGAGAUACAAUCUGUAAACUUAAUGUUGGAUAAAAUUAAGACACUUCAUGAACCAAGAUCUUAAAUUUCAUGAUUUUGGGGCGUCACAUAGAAUUCUGUCACUUCCCUGUUGUCAUGUAGUGUCUGAUGAGUCCCUUGAAGAUAAUCAGAGUAUAUUGUGAGUAAAAAUGUUGCGUUCUUUUCAUGGUGCAAGAAAAUUGUGAUUAUUCACCGUAUGAUCUCAAUACAACAGAGUAGUCAUUUAACUUUUGUUAUAAUACUUUCUGUUUCAAACUUGAAUUAAAAUGGAACAGUUAAUAACCAUAAUUUUCUUGAACUAUGAGGUAUAGGGGGGCGAACCAAAACAAACCUUUCAUAUAUUAUCGGAAACUUGGAAUGACAUUCUUCAAGAACGCGGCAAACUCACCGUACUCUUGAAGCAUUCUAACGUCAGCCUUGCACCGAGUAAACUGCGGAAAGAACAGCCAAUAGGAGGUCACCACCACAAACCCAAGGGUCAACGGCACCGAGAUCACCUUCGGCAACCGGCACCUGCCCUUCAACGCCUUGUUCAAAACGAUCUCAACCGGCAAGCACACUCCGUGCAAAACGAAGAACCACGUGACCUCCCACGUGGGCCUCACCCGCCCCAUGCAGUAGUACAUGUGCUCGUGCAUGAGCCCCGACACCAGAAAGCUUCCGAAGACAGCCGGCAGAGGGGCCCACUCGGAGCCAAUGACGCCUGCAGAGUAAUCGCGGGUGGGUUCGUACACAGCGGAGUGCAGGAUGCUGUGGGCCACGAGGUUCCAUCUACGGCUCCAGAAGUUUUGAAGCGACGUGGAGAAAUAUGGGUCGUUGAAGUGCGGCUUGAGGUCCAAACCCGACAGAGAUCGAGUCAAUAUUGUUACAAUGGCCAGUAAGUUUUCCAGAGUAAGGUAAAUGUACAAGCAAUGAAGGAUCAAUACGAGCUUUUGGUGGAAGUGCUCACCAUACUUGAGGACACCAAUUAGAAUGACAAAAAGUAUGCCCUUUAUUACUUGAUUUAGGGGCAAUUUUUGGGCGUUUUGGGGAGAUGGGUUGGUUUCAAUUUUAGAAUUUUGGGAUUUUUGAGGUGGGUUUUCUCUGUUUUGACGAUUUGUACUGGAUUUUGAGGAAGAUGUGUAGGUUUCAAUCUUAGGGUUUUGAGUUUUUGGAGGUGGGUUUUGUGUCAUUUGGCCAUUUGGGUGGGAUUUUGAGGGAGAAGGGUAGGUUUCAAAUUUGGGGUUUGGGGAUUUUGGAGGUGGGUUUUCUUGGAACUCAAUUGGAAGGCAACCGAUGGCCAAGAAACGUCCAAUGGAGAUUGGUGGAUGUGAAGCCAAAGGGCCUUUGCCAAAAGCAAAAAGUAGGAGCUUGAAGGUGCCGAGCCAAGAAACGAAAAAGGCAGUGCCACCUUCAAGAUGCAUGGAGGAGAAGUUGAGAGGAAGAUAAAGGAAGAGGAAGACAACUGGGAGGACACAGAAAAGUCUGGUUGUUCCUUUUGGGACUAAUUUCCCAAUUGAAUGGCUGUACAAGAAACAUGCAAACACUGAAGACCAUACCUGAAUGAAGUUGAAGAAUUCACCCUCCAUUAAUUGUUGUAUGAUCCUGCUUUCUGCUUUGUUGUUUAUGUCAUUGAUGUUCAACUGUUGAUAAUCGAUGAGGAACAAACAGGAGAUGGUAAAUAUAUAAUUAUUAUGUAAUUAUAUAUUGAGAUGGUAGAUAUAUAAUUAUUAUGUAAUUAUAUAUUGGAUUAAAGACAGGAGAUGGUAGAUAUAUAAUUAUUAUGUAAU
rnacentral:lncRNA from 1 species